CUCGUAAUUCUCGCACUAUGUUUGCGCUCUCAAUUCUCGCUCGCAAUUCUCACACUGCGUUUACACUCUCAAUUCUCUGCGUUUGAGCUCAGUUCUCUCUCGCAAUCCUCAUACCACGUUUGCACUUUCAAUUCUCAGUGUCCCGAAGUUUAGUAGAGUAUAUGUAACUUAGAGCGAACCCCAUGCGAACCGCUGUCCAAACCCGUACGGUCCGGUGAAUACAAUACUCCUAUUUAGUCGAAAAGAAACGGAAUUGGAACGGUUCAAUGCAUACUGAUCGUACGUGAAGCUCUUCUGAUUGGGAAAUACAGUUGAAUCGAUCUACCAUACUUCUGUCCUCCUCAGGGUGAUUCCACCUCUUGUCUGUUACUCUGGUUGCAGUGCAGUGCUACUUAAGUGCUAGGAGUCAGUGCCAGCAGUCUUCCAGAUACAUGUAGGAAUUAUGAUCAGUUGUACGGGAACUUGUGAAAGGUCAACACCGUGCAAAGCUCCAUGAAGUCCCACUACACUAGUUUAGUGCUCUUCUCCUAAAAACAAGAACCAAGAUCUUGUUUUCCACGACUAUUAUCCGCAUUAGGAGGUGGAUCUGAACAUGUAAAGUCCGUGAUAGUUCCAAACCGCGUAAUCCCACAUGCAUUUCUGGUACCAAUGCAUCUGCUCAUAAAUUUAGCUUUGAAAGUCGUAUAAAAUUGCACGUUUGUGCAAAACAGAGGUGUUGAAUUGCUAGUUCACUGGAUUAAUUCAUCUUGUUUGUGACUCAAAUUAAUGUUUCGCAUAUGGUUGAUGAAA